GGACAACAAAAGGAAAAAAAUAAAUCCUCUGCUAAAAUAAUGUGUGUAGGUGUGCUUAGCGAAAUUAAGAAAACCAGCUAAUAUAAAAUUAAUUACAAAUAAACACACGUGUAUAUGAUCAAAUAAUAAUAAUACAAUAAAAACAAUGUUAAUCUUCUUCAUUUUUGUUUGUUUUUUUAGGUUAUAAUUAAAAACGUGCCGCGAGAAGGCGAGAAGUUAAUCGCUAAUCAAUAAAUCGAAAGUGGUGGCGCUGGUGAUCGUAACCAACUUCAGAGUGUAUUCACUAAAAAUGGCGACGAUGGCGACGAUCACGUUCCAUUGUUUUGAGGUAAAUUUUAAUAAACAGUUGUAAUAAUUGUAUAUUUAUUGCUUAUUCUCAACAAAAUUGUCAAGAAGUUAAAGUAACAAUUACAAUUUUCGUUUAAUAUAAACUUAGUUUGUUGGAAUAGUUAAUGAAAUUCUGAUUUAUAAAGUGCUGACUUCUGGGCAUUCCUGGGAGGAAUAUUUGUCGAUUUAUUUUGCGUUUAAAUAUUUAAUUCUCAAUUGUAGGCAAUAUUUUCAGGAAGUUAAAAUUUUUUCUAUUUAUUUUAAUUCAUUUGUGUGUUUUGGUUUUAGAAAAAUGCUUUACUUAAAGUUCAGGGGUUGAGUGUAGGAAAAGAUGUAAAUUAUAGAAUUUUUACUUAAAUAUCUCCAGCUUUGUAUUCAAAAGAUCUAAAGUAUUAAAGUAUCGAAUAAUUUGUAUUAUUUUAAUUAUUUAUACGAUUUAUACUUUUUAUAUAUUAAUAAAUAAUAAACAACCGGUGUAAGUUACGUAACAAACUAAGUUUCUCGUAGCUGCCCAACCCUGUAUUUAGUUACGGGAAUCCCUUGAAAUUGGCAAUAUUCGAGAGUGGGGGUUACUGCCAACUUCAGACUGUUUAGUAAAGUUACUUCGACACUUCGACCCGCAUCCAUUGCUUUUGAUUGUUAUAAAUUAUAGAUUAGAUAAACAGUAAUUAAUAAUUGUCUUGGAAUAUUAUUUGCUGAAGCAUAUCCAGUACAUCUAGGUAUCCUAAGGUUAGUUGUUUACAGUUUUUGUUUGCUCUGGCAUUAUCAUAAAAUAGCCCGGAAUUCUGUAUAAACUGAGAUUUAACCGAUUUAACUUUUAAUCACGGGAUCAUUCGUGUACCAAUUGUUAUAGAAUUGUUUUGUUUCAACUUUAAAAGAGAUUUACUCGAAACAGUUACUUUAAUCUUAAAUUUAUAAUCUGUUCUUUCGGGAUCAAAUAAAUACCUAGUGAAAGUAAAUAAAUAUAUUUUCAAAAAUGUUAAAAUCGUUAAAAUUAGUAACCGGUCUGAAGUUAAUUGCAUAUUACCUCCAUCUGUGGUCGAGAAUUCGAUAUUUGAACUUCGAUUGUUACAAAGUUCACUUUGUUCACUUUUUUCGGCAGUUGAGUGUUUGUGUUAUUAUUUUCAUAAAAAUAACAAGAUUUAUAGGCUUUUCCUUAUGUAAUUAUAGUAUAAAUCAAUUAAAGUUUUUAAUGCUAACUGAGUAACGAUGAUUUGAAUAAGUAAUAAAUUAAUUCACAUAGUUUUAUCCAUGUUUGGAUAUGCAAAGCAAGCAAUGGUCGUAAUCCAACCAAAGGAACCAAAGUACAAAAAUUUCCUCUAUUAUUAAAGAAAUCAGUGAAAAUUUACGAGUAAUACCAGUCCAAAAAAGUGUGAGUAAUAAUAUUUGCAAAGAAAAUGAGAAAAGUUUCGAAAUAAUUUAAACGAAGUGUUGAAAAGUUAGAAAGGAACAAAGUGGAAUUCCUAACCUAAAAAUUGCCGACAAUGUCAACAAAGUGAUUAACUAUUUCAAAACUGAAAACUAUUCUACUAGCUGUAAUAAGUCAUGACUGGAAGGAUUCAGGAAAGGAAUAAUUGGAUUACUAAGGAUUCUCGACAUUUAACAGACGAUGGUAAAGUUUGCUUCACCAUCUGCGCUGCUGCAUUCAAGUUUAAGAUUUCUUGAAGAAAGCAACUAAAAGAGCAACUAUUUGGAUUUAAUAGUGUGUUUCUAUAUAAUAUGAGAAAAAAAAGUUUCCUCCCACUUGAAAAGUCAACGUCCCAUUUUUUUUGGAGAAGGAAAGAAGAAAAGGAAAAAAAAAUAAACAAACGUCAACGAAAAUGAGGAAACUCACCUGUUUU